GUGAACGCUGGCGGUAGGCCUAACACAUGCAAGUCGAACGGCAGCACGGUAAGAGCUUGCUCUUACGGGUGGCGAGUGGCGGACGGGUGAGGAAUACAUCGGAAUCUACUUUUUCGUGGGGGAUAACGUAGGGAAACUUACGCUAAUACCGCAUACGACCUACGGGGGAAAGCAGGGGAUCUUCGGACCUUGCGCGAUUGAAUGAGCCGAUGUCGGAUUAGCUAGUUGGCGGGGUAAAGGCCCACCAAGGCGACGAUCCGUAGCUGGUCUGAGAGGAUGAUCAGCCACACUGGAACUGAGACACGGUCCAGACUCCUACGGGAGGCAGCAGUGGGGAAUAUUGGACAAUGGGCGCAAGCCUGAUCCAGCCAUACCGCGUGGGUGAAGAAGGCCUUCGGGUUGUAAAGCCCUUUUGUUGGGAAAGAAAAGCAGCAGGUUAAUACCCCGCUGUUCUGACGGUACCCAAAGAAUAAGCACCGGCUAACUUCGUG
rnacentral:rRNA from 1 species